AUUGAACGCUAGCGGGAUGCUUUACACAUGCAAGUCGAACGGCAGCGCGGACUUCGGUCUGGCGGCGAGUGGCGAACGGGUGAGUAAUGUAUCGGAACGUGCCCAGUAGCGGGGGAUAACUACGCGAAAGCGUAGCUAAUACCGCAUACGCCCUACGGGGGAAAGCAGGGGAUCGUAAGACCUUGCACUAUUUGAGCGGCCGAUAUCGGAUUAGCUAGUUGGUUAGGUAACGGCUCACCAAGGCGACGAUCCGUAGCUGGUUUGAGAGGACGACCAGCCACACUGGGACUGAGACACGGCCCAGACUCCUACGGGAGGCAGCAGUGGGGAAUUUUGGACAAUGGGGGCAACCCUGAUCCAGCCAUCCCGCGUGUGGGAUGAAGGCCUUCGGGUUGUAAAGCACUUUUGGCAGGAAAGAAACGUCGCGGGCUAAUACCCCGUGGAACUGACGGUACCUGCAGAAUAAGCACCGGCUAACUACGUG
rnacentral:rRNA from 1 species